rnacentral:rRNA from 1 species
CCUGAACGCUGGCGGCGUGGCUAAGACAUGCAAGUCGCACGGUGGUAGCAAUACCACAGUGGCGAACGGGUGAGUAAUGAAUCGCUAAUGUACCCCGGACUCCGGGAUAGCUACUCGAAAGGGUAGGUAAUACCGGAUGACAUACCUGGCAGGCAUCUGCCGGGUCUCAAAGGUCCGCCGGUCCGGGAGCAGGCGAUUUCGUAUCAGCUAGUUGGUGAGGUAACGGCUCACCAAGGCGACGACGCGUAGCCGGACUGAGAGGUUGGCCGGCCACAUCGGGACUGAGACACUGCCCGGACUCCUACGGGGGGCUGCAGUAACGAAUCUUCCCCAAUGCACGCAAGUGUGAGGGAGCGACGCCGCGUGUGGGACGAAGUCCUUCGGGAUGUAAACCACUGUCAGGGGAUACCAAGUUCUGAGGAUCCCCAGAGGAAGGGGCGGCUAACUCUGUGCCAGCAGCCGCGGUAAGACAGAGGCCCCAAGCGUUAGGCGGAAUCACUGGGCUUAAAGCGUGUGUAGGCGGAUCGUUAAGUGUCUUGUGAAAUCCCACGGCUCACCCGUGGAACUGCUGGGCAUACUGGCGAUCUUGGGCCAACUAGGGGCAGCCGGAACAAGCGGUGGAGCGGUGAAAUGCGUAGAUAUCGCUUGGAACGCCGAAGGUGAAAACAGGCUGCUGGGGUUGUGCCGACGCUGAGACACGAAAGCCAGGGGAGCAAACGGGAUUAGAUACCCCGGUAGUCCUGGCCCUAAACGAUGUCCACUAGAUUACGGCGCCUUUGACGGCGUCGUGGUCGAAGCAAAAGUGUUAAGUGGACCGCCUGGGAAGUACGGUCGCAAGGCUA